UGCCCUUUCUUUUAGGAACUCUGCAAGUGAAGCCAACAUGUACUUACUAGGAGUCUGGCUGAAUGACCAGUGUGAGCAACCGGAGCUCUGCAAAUGUGGAAUGGGCCAUGAUGGAGGCCUGUUUCCAGAUACUUGACCCAGCUGUGUAUGGAAGCCUGAGAUCUUCUGAACAUGAAGCAAAAGGUCAAAGGAGGAUAGAGAAAGCUUCCAGAGAACUUUGCUCCCACACUGAUGAGACAGAGCUGGGCAGUUGACAAAAUCACAAAUUUUCUUGAAUCCAUCAAAAACUGAGAUCAUAAGACAACCAGGUGAACUACAUUCUGGAGAGUGACAGCUUGACACAAUGAACAGCCUUACCUUUGGCAGAGCAAGGUAGAGUCCCUAUCCUGAAAGCCAGUGAGCAAGUGACUGACCUGGAUACUGAAGGACACUUCUGCUUCAUUUAUUUAUGGAAACAUACAGAAAACAGAUUCAACAUUUGCAUUGUAAGAGAGAACAUCCUUUUUCAAAAGAACACCACAGCAUUCUUAACAAGAGAGAUAGAUCAUUCCCCAAUAAAUCAUAUAUAAUUAAAGUCCUUUACAUUGGUAUAUAAUGAACUCCUGAAAGCAUAUUUGAAAGUCAAGGAUCUGAAAGUCAAACAGUAGGCAUAAAGAGGGUUCUACUUCUA